rnacentral:rRNA from 1 species
GACGAACGCUGGCGGCGUGCUUAACACAUGCAAGUCGAACGGAAAGGCCCUGCUUUUGUGGGGUGCUCGAGUGGCGAACGGGUGAGUAACACGUGAGUAACCUGCCCUUGACUUUGGGAUAACUUCAGGAAACUGGGGCUAAUACCGGAUAGGAGCUCCUGCUGCAUGGUGGGGGUUGGAAAGUUUCGGCGGUUGGGGAUGGACUCGCGGCUUAUCAGCUUGUUGGUGGGGUAGUGGCUUACCAAGGCUUUGACGGGUAGCCGGCCUGAGAGGGUGACCGGCCACAUUGGGACUGAGAUACGGCCCAGACGCCUACGGGAGGCAGCAGGGGGGAAUAUUGCACAAUGGGCGGAAGCCUGACGCAGCAACGCCGCGUGCGGGAGGACGGCCUUCGGGUUGUAAACCGCUUUCGCCUGUGAUGAAGCGUGAGUGACGGUAAUGGGUAAAGAAGCACCGGCUAACUACGUGC